ensembl:lncRNA
CUUGCUUCUGCUCCCCAAAAUCCUAUAAAAGCCCAUCCUUGGUUCCGUGGGGCGCGCCAGUCCCCCGAGUGACUGAAGCGCCCACAGGUGCCUGUGCCUGUGUAUCCCGACAAUAAACCAAAUCCUCUUGCUGAUUGCAUCCUGUGGUGUCUCAGUCUGGUCUUUGGAGUUGGAGGGUCUCCAUCCCGAGGGAAAGUUCUCCCUGAGAGCUUUUCAUUUGGUGCGUUGGCCGGGAAAGGAGAUCCUCCACCCAGGGACCACCGACCACCCACUGGGAGGUAAGCCGGCCGGCGUCUGUCUGUCUGUCUGAUUUUGUCUCGUUCUGCCUUAUUCUGUCUGUUCUGUGAGCGCUCAGCCAGGUCUGUUCUGUGAGCGCUCAGCCAGGUUGUUUGGAAUUUGGGCGGGACGAAGAAGGAGCUGACGAGCUCGGACUUCUCGCCCCGCAGCCCUAGAAGACGUUCCAAGGGUGUUAGGGGCCCGACUUUUCAGGGCCCAAUCUGGGAGAGGAGAAAGAUCCGGACUAACGGCACCUCUGUCUGUAUUUUUGGCUUUCAGAGGGCCCCGGACCUUUGCCACCUCCAUCUGACUUUUUGCUUUCAGUUUGGUACCAAAGCCGUGCAGCACGCCUGUCUGUUGUUUGUUUGACUGUUGGUGUUGUUUGUUUUCUCUGUGUUCUAAUCUUCCUUAGAACUAACAUGGGACAGUCCCUAACAAUGCCCCUAAGUCUCACUCUUGAUCAUUGGGAAGACGUCCACGACCGGGCACACAACCAGUCCGUCGAGGUUAAAAAAAAAAAAAAAAAAAAAAAAAAAGGAAAAUGACAGACUCGGAGCGGGAUGGCCAGUGAAUGGCACAUUUAAUAAGAUCAUUAUUUUACAGGUUAAAGAUCGGGUCGUCCACGGACAUCCUGACCAGGUUCCUUAUAUUAUCACUUGAGAGAGUCUCGCCUUAAACCCCCCCUCCUGGGCGGAACCCUUCGUGGACCCGAAUUGGCCUCCCCUCAACCCCCAGCCUGUCCCCUCGGCCCCGCCCGGUCUGCCGGCCACGUCUUCCUCUCUCUACCUUUGUGAAAUCAGAGCCUUCUAAGAAACCUGUCCUCCCGGCAGACCCAAACUCCCCUCUCAUAGAUCUUCUCUCUGACAGGCCCGG